rnacentral:lncRNA from 1 species
UAUGGUCCCAACUACUUGGGAAGCUGAGGUGGGAGUUUUGCUUGAGCCCGGGAGGCAGAGGUUACAAUGAACUGAGAUCACGUCACUGUACUCCAACCUGGGCAACAGAGCAAGGCUGUCUCAAAAAAAAAAAAAAAAAAAAAGUAGAAGGUAAAUACAAAGAUAAAAAGCAAAGAACCAGAAAGUAAAAAGCAAGAGAGAAAAAUGAGGUUUAGAAAUUUCCAUUUUCCCUUUGACUUUGUGUCUUAAAAGAUAAAAAAUAAAGAGAUUUAGAAUUUUUUUUUAAAAAAAGAAUUAAGAAACAAAACAGUAAAACAUAAACUAAGAGUGACAAUAUUUUUUAAAAGAGAAGACAGAGAUAAACGAAGAGCUUAAAAAGCAUGGGAAUAAGAAAUAAUAAAAGGCUUAGUAAAAAGUUGGCGUGAAAGGUGACCCACCCACGGGCCGAGCCCUACCCAUUCACUGAGCCUGGGAAAUGACAUUCAGCAGCAGGUGGAGGAGCAGCUGUUUUCUGUCACCCAGCUCUCAAGGGCCUGGGCUGGUUGUAGCUCCCUGUCACUGAAGCAAGCCCUGUGCUGGAGCCUAACCCCGGUGUCUCUCCAACUAACCCGCAUGCUGCCCUGGCCCCUGGUAUUCUCACCUCCUCCCAUGGGAACCUGGGACAGCCACGCCUAAUGUGCUGCGUCUUGACCACUUUGCCCAGUGCCUAGGAAGGUCUUUUUGGAGGCAGAGCCUGCCCUUGGCUGGGCCCUGCAUCGAACUCUAUGGAGCUCCUUGAACUGCAACGCUGGCCCCAUGGCCUGAUAAGGACCACUGCUACUGAGAAGCUCCAAGGACUGCUCCCUCUCAUCACCCCUUAGUGUGCACCCCUGGACCAUUGGCCCACAUUGGACACCAGACCCUUAGGAUGUGGAUUUGAAUUAUCUGCUCUUUCCUGAAACUAACAGGCAACUCUAUAGAUCACUGGGGACUCAUCCUGCAGAUAUCAUUCAAGGUAUCCGGUUCAGAAUCUAUCACCAGCUCAGACUGUAGCCUCUGAAGAGAUCUCAGAUGUUUUGUGCCUUAUACAUUUAAUUCUGAGAUCAUAGAGCCCAAGGAGGUUUUGAGGACCCUCUACCCACACCUUCAGAUGUUUUCAGAGGAUUUGCUGGCAGGGCUGGGCCACUGGGCCUUGCUGGGCUCUAAUUUUCCUACCCACGUGUGUCCUAUAGACCGUGAAUUUUCUUCUAAACACUCUUGACUUUUCACUUGUUAAAUUAAAGCAUUUUCUUA